UACGGAAGGCAGCAGUGGGGAAUAUUGCACAAUGGGCGCAAGCCUGAUGCAGCCAUGCCGCGUGUAUGAAGAAGGCCUUCGGGUUGUAAAGUACUUUCAGUCGUGAGGAAGGUGUUAAGGUUAAUAACCUUAGCAAUUGACGUUAGCGACAGAAGAAGCACCGGCUAACUCCGUGCCAGCAGCCGCGGUAAUACGGAGGGUGCGAGCGUUAAUCGGAAUUACUGGGCGUAAAGGGCACGCAGGCGGUUAAUUAAGUUGGAUGUGAAAUCCCCGGGCUUAACCUGGGAAUGGCAUUCAAGACUGGUUAGCUAGAGUCUUGUAGAGGGGGUAGAAUUCCAUGUGUAGCGGUGAAAUGCGUAGAGAUGUGGAGGAAUACCGGUGGCGAAGGCGGCCCCUGGCAAAGACUGACGCUCAUGUGCGAAAGCGUGGGGAGCAAA
rnacentral:rRNA from 1 species